GAUGAAGAACGCAGCGAAAUGCGAUAAGUAAUGUGAAUUGCAGAAUUCAGUGAAUCAUCGAAUCUUUGAACGCACCUUGCGCUCCUUGGUAUUCCGAGGAGCAUGCCUGUUUGAGUGUCAUUAAAUUCUCAACCUCACCAGUUUUCCAAACUGUUCUUCGAGGCUUGGAUGUGGGGGUUUGUGCAGGCUGCCUCUCUGGCGGUCUGCUCCCCUGAAAUGCAUUAGCGAGUUCAUACUGAGCUCCGUCUAUUGGUGUGAUAAUUAUCUACGCCGUGGACGAGGUUCAGACUUGCUUCUAACCGUCCGCAAGGACAAUACCUUGACAAUUUGACCUCAAAUCAGGUAGGACUACCCGCUGAACUUAAGCAUAUCAAUAAGCGGAGGA
rnacentral:misc_RNA from 1 species